GCUUAAAGAAGGGCCGACAAGCAGUGCACCCAAGGGUCCCUUGCGAUCCCAGCCCCUGAGGCCUCUCACUGAGUGUUGCUGCCACUUUAUUUUAUUUCCAUUUGGGUCACCAGGUCUCCCGUGUUUGUGUAUGCCAUUGGGAAACCAUAGCAGUGGUCUUGGGGUCUGAAAGCCAUGCUGCCUUGGGUGUCUGGGUUUAGAGGGGUGUGCGCUACAGUUCUCUCUUGGGGAUGGAGCUGGGACGAUCUGUCGGGAUUAGGCGUUUUGUCGAGACCCUGUGGCCUGGAGCCAAAAGGUGGAGCUGGCUGCAAAGCGCCUGGUGUGAGGCCCAGAGCCAGGGAGUCUCAAGAUGACCAAGGCUGCAAGAUGCACAAGCAAACCCUGAUUUUCAGCCCUGCUUUGCAAAGGCUCUGCUGCUCCUUCUCAGGCAUAACCACCUUUGAAUGCAAGCAGACAAAUGAGUUGCAUGGAAGCAUGGAGGGUCUGUCACCACUGUUUCUGUCCCCUCCUUCACCCAUGUGAGAACUGAUAUGUGACGAGUGCAGGUGUGCAUGGCCAGGGCAGGGUCCAGUCCUUGGGUCCUCAGGCAAAGAGGCAAACCAGACAAAUGCCAGAGUGGCUAGGUUUGACCCGGCUAGCUAAGACAGCCAGAAAUACACUAUGACCAGCGGUUGCUCCAUGCCAUCUGAGGACACUGUGUGGCCAGUCUAUUUUUUUCUAUAAAUCCAGACAUUAAAUUUUUAAGUCACUGAAUGAUACUUCAAAUUGCCUUUCCCUUGUACACCUCAGGGCCCUACUAGACCCUUAAUUUGUCAUAUUUUGAGAGUGGAUAUACCUAUUUAUUUAUGUUUUUGCUGGUCAGGGUAUUUAUCUUAGGAACAAUUAAAUGAUUGAAAUAGCAUGGUGAUUUCACUGGGUUACGUCUGAGUUGUAGAUAGAUGUUCUUUCCAAAAAGCUGGGUGUGUGUGUUCUAACUGAACUGGAUGAUAUUUUCCCCCCACUUGGUUAUUUUCUCUAUUUAUUUUGAAUUUGGGAAAAUAGUUUUAGAAUUCAGCUGUGAUUUUAUAUGUUUACCUUGGCAUGGGUGACUGUGGGAAGUGGGGACAUUUUGUUUCCCUUGAUUUGGGUGAGCAAAGCAUUGACACCAGAAGUCUGGGGCACCCCAGGAGGCGUGCAUAGGGCGUUAGUGAGGGGCAGGAGUCGUGUCGGGAGCCGUGAGCCCAGCACCCCGAGGCGGGCCUCCUUUGGACUUUCCGUCUCAGGCGUAUGUUCACUCCAAGCCUCCCUGUCAGUUCCGGAAGUCUGGUCUGCACUGUUGUGUCCUGACUUCAAGGUGCCUGUUUGGGUCUUUCCCAUGGAAAUAAAGUGGCAGAAAUGGA